rnacentral:rRNA from 1 species
CACGUAGGGCGCGAGCGUUGUCCGGAAUUAUUGGGCGUAAAGAGCUCGUAGGCGGCCUGUUGCGUCCGCUGUGAAAGCCCGGGGGCUUAACCCCCGGGUCGGCAGUGGAUACGGGGCAGGCUAGAGGUAGGUAGGGGGAGAAUGGAAUUCCCGGUGUGGCGGUGAAAUGCGCAGAUAUCGGGAGGAACACCGGUGGCGAAGGCGGGUCUCUGGGCCGAUACUGACGCUGAGGCACGAAAGCGUGGGGAGCAAACAGG